UGACUGCUAAUACCGCAUAAGCGCACGGAUUGCAUGAUCCAGUGUGAAAAACUCCGGUGGUGUGAGAUGGACCCGCGUUGGAUUAGCCAGUUGGCAGGGUAACGGCCUACCAAAGCGACGAUCCAUAGCCGGCCUGAGAGGGUGGACGGCCACAUUGGGACUGAGACACGGCCCAGACUCCUACGGGAGGCAGCAUG
rnacentral:rRNA from 1 species